AACGUAGGAGACAAACGUUAUCCGGAGUUACUGGGCGUAAAGGGCGUGUAGGUGGUUACGUAAGUCUGGCGUGAAAUUUCUCGGCUUAACCGAGGCAGGUCGUCGGAUACUGCGAGACUAGAGGACGGUAGAGGCGUGUGGAAUUCCGGGUGUAGUGGUGAAAUGCGCAGAUAUCAGGAGGAACACCGGUGGCGAAGGCGGGUCUCUGGGCCGAUACUGACGCUGAGGAGCGAAAGCGUGGGGAGCGAACAGG
rnacentral:rRNA from 1 species